rnacentral:rRNA from 1 species
AUGAACGCUGGCGGCGUGCCUCAUACAUGCAAGUCGAGCGAACAGACGAGGAGCUUGCUCCUCUGACGUUAGCGGCGGACGGGUGAGUAACACGUGGAUAACCUACCUAUAAGACUGGGAUAACUUCGGGAAACCGGAGCUAAUACCGGAUAAUAUAUUGAACCGCAUGGUUCAAUAGUGAAAGACGGUUUUGCUGUCACUUAUAGAUGGAUCCGCGCCGCAUUAGCUAGUUGGUAAGGUAACGGCUUACCAAGGCAACGAUGCGUAGCCGACCUGAGAGGGUGAUCGGCCACCCUGGAACUGAGCCACGGUCCAGACUCCUACGGGAGGCAGCAGUAGGGAAUCUUCCGCAAUGGGCGAAAGCCUGACGGAGCAACGCCGCGUGAGUGAUGAAGGUCUUCGGAUCGUAAAACUCUGUUAUUAGGGAAGAACAAAUGUGUAAGUAACUAUGCACGUCUUGACGGUACCUAAUCAGAAAGCCACGGCUAACUACGUG